ensembl:lncRNA
ACACACACCUGCUGCUGAACGGCAUGGACAGCUACAUCACUGCAUGUCCCAAACAAAAUAUAUGGAAAUAUACUGGAAAAUAAAUGGAAACCCAAGUCUCUGGACUCAUCCACCUGAGAGCAGGAACAUUCCAGUGGAAGAAUGCUUUGUACAUGCAUGCACAGGGUAAGCUCAAAAAUGUUAAUAAUCUCUCUCUCUGCUGGCAAGUGGAGACACACGUUUACUCUGUCAUAUAUGCAAAUAGAGGAGCUGAUUUGGGGAAACUGCUAUUGAUUGCACCCGUUGAUCUAUUGGCUCAUUUUGAACCCUUUCCUCUCCGGGCUGUGCAAAAGUAGAGCACUAAUGUGUAUUGGGUCUGAUUGGAUAAGUGAUAUUCACUCUGGACUUUGUGACAGUCUCUUAAAAUGAGGUCAAUCAGGGUUGUAUUGAAAGGAGAACCUUAUGAAGACCUGCGACUGGAUGGAGAUGGUUCUCAACUGGUUUUGCUUUAAGACACAGACUUUAUAUUGGGCAUCAAGUGGCGACUCCAAGCACCGAAAAUCUUUAUCCAAUAGUAAAAUAAAACCAAUGUUUUGUUUACAAUGUGUGAAAAAAAACAAUGUAGAGUACUAUGUGUUAUAGCAAAGAGACAUGGAUGAAAUCAUAAAAUGAAAUAAAAAAAUCCCCACAAAUCAAACACUGAAAUGUAUUAAUAUUACUAUAAACUGCAGACCAAACAAUAUGCUAAAUUACAGUGUUUCUGUGGGUCUUAAAACAGCCUUCUCAAUUCUUCAUUCCACAAUUUAAGGCUUUAAAAGGUCUUAAAUUGGAGCUGAGAGUCAGUAUCAUGUAUGCAUGCCAGUAAUUUGUCUUGCUUUCUAAUACAAAUAUCUAAACAUUCUUUAAUCAAGAUGCAAUGUAAAGAUGAAGUCUGGGUUAUCUGAGAAACUGAAAAGGAUGAAAUGAGUUUCCUUAAAGCAUGCUUAAAGCAAGAACAAAUAUCCAUCAACUGGGUAUGAAAACGUGUUGUUUUUUUUCUGCUCUCAUUGGCAGACAUUUGUCCUUUUUUAUCAUAAAUCUCUUUAGUUAUGAUCCAUUUCUCAGAAAGCAAAACCUUUUGUGUCAUUUUUGCAUCUAUUUUGAUUUCUGAAUUUUUAGACAUAUGCACUAGAAAACAAGACAAAAAUACUGAGGAAGUACUACAAUGCGAUCAGAAGAUACAGUAAAAGUUAAUUCCAUAUUCUAAUUCUAGUUAAGCUAUUAUUCUGUAAAAUUAAUUAAAAAGUAAUGGAAAUUGAUUGGAACUUAGUAGUUGUAUUUUCAAGCUUUGAAAUGCUGCUGAUACAACUCUGCGCUCCUUAGACAUUUACAUUUAGAAAGCAUACUGACAUUUUCUUUAAAGGGGUCAUAUGACAUUCAAAAAACACUAUUUUCCACAUAAUGUACAUUAUUGUUUCUCCUUUAUUCCCCACCUUUCUGAAACUUUUUUUUUUUUUUCAAAAAAUUUUAAACAAAGCUCUUCGUUCUGAAAAGCAAGGUGUACACUGAUUGGCCAGCUAUCCAGUGUGUUGUGAUUGGCCGAAUACCUCAAGCGUGUGACGGAAAUGUUAUGCCCCUUACUAUAUUUGGAUACACACAGCAUCAACAACAAUACUACAGCAAGAAUCAAAGUUAAGCCUUCUUUCUUUGUGUGAACAUUUGGGCGGUGUUAUGCAAACCUUCCCACAUCGUGACUUAGACUGUGGGGGUGUGUUUAAACUAGGUGUUUUAGGAGGGCGUGGACGAGUCUUAACAUUUAUAAAGAAUAUCUCUUUGGGUUUGAGACUUUAGUCUUUGCAACUUUAGGGAUCUUAUGUAAAGAAGGACAGCUAAGGUCAUCAAACAGCAUGAAAAACAGAUGUGGCCGAGAAAUGUGGUAUGAGAAUUUGGGAACAAAGCACAGCAAUGUUUCAACAAUCAGAUAAGAUCCUUCUUGUGGCAAUGAACAAAUAAUUGCCUCAAAUUAAAGCACCUUAAGUCAUUUAUAAGGGAUGGAAAGAUUGUGUCAUUUCACGCAAGCCGUUUUGUUCAUUCGAGCAGACUUCAAUUAAAACGUUAUAUUUUCAAUAACCAGUCUUCUUGAACAUGUCCACAUACAGUAUGCAAUCUUUGAUCAAACUCCGAAUUAGGAAAUCUUUAUGUGCAACCAAAGAUAAAUGAUGAAAAACAAACAUGAUUAGUUCACCCCUGAAUCUUUCCUUCAUUUGUCACAUGCAAAUGAACAAACUGUUCAUGAACAACCUUUACUAGUGUUUAUGUGCAUGUGUGUGUGUGUGUGUGUGUGCUUGUCUCUGAACUCAAUGGCCCCUAUCAGCCGGGGUCGUACAAGCUUGAGUCAUCAGUUUUGCUCCGCUUCAUGUGUUUUCUGCCAGUCUUAUAGGUGUAAGCCAACUCUCAGGUCAAAGAGUUCAUGAGCGAGACACAUUGGGUUCAUAAAACAGGAUUAAAGAAUCAAAUUUCAUAUAAUUUAGUCUUAAUUAGGGGU